GCGGGUAUCGUAUAAUGGUUAUUACCUCAGCCUUCUUGGCUGAUGAUGCGGGUUCGAUUCCUGCUGUCCGCU
rnacentral:tRNA from 1 species